GCACGUGAAAUAUUUCAAAGGUGAGGGCGUAUAUA
rnacentral:sRNA from 1 species